rnacentral:rRNA from 1 species
UACGAAGGGGGCUAGCGUUGCUCGGAAUCACUGGGCGUAAAGCGCACGUAGGCGGAUUGUUAAGUCGGGGGUGAAAUCCUGGAGCUCAACUCCAGAACUGCCUUCGAUACUGGAAAGCUCGAGUCCGGGAGAGGUGAGUGGAACUGCGAGUGUAGAGGUGAAAUUCGUAGAUAUUCGCAAGAACACCAGUGGCGAAGGCGGCUCACUGGCCCGGUACUGACGCUGAGGUGCGAAAGCGUGGGGAGCAAA